UACGGAGGGUGCAAGCGUUAUCCGGAUUCACUGGGUUUAAAGGGUGCGUAGGAGGGUAGGUAAGUCAGUGGUGAAAUCUUCGAGCUUAACUCGGAAACUGCCGUUGAUACUAUCUAUCUUGAAUACCGUGGAGGUGAGCGGAAUAUGUCAUGUAGCGGUGAAAUGCUUAGAUAUGACAUAGAACACCAAUUGCGAAAGCAGCUCGCUACACGAAUAUUGACUCUGAGGCACGAAAGCGUGGGGAUCAAACAGG
rnacentral:rRNA from 1 species